rnacentral:rRNA from 1 species
CCUACGGGAGGCAGCAGUGAGGAAUAUUGGUCAAUGGACGAGAGUCUGAACCAGCAAAGUAGCGUGAAGGAUGACUGCCCUAGGGGUUGUAAAUUUCUUUUAUAUGGAAAUAAAAUGUUCCACGUGUGGGAUUUUAUAUGUACCAUAUGAAUAAGGAUCGGCUACCUCCGUGCCAGCAGCCGCGGUAAUACGGAGGUUCCGAGCGUUAUCCGGAUUUAUUGGGUUUAAAGGGCGCGUAGGUGGAUUGUUAAGUCAGUUGUGAAAGUUUGCGGCUCAACCGUAAAAUUGCAGUUGAAACUGGCAGUCUUGAGUACAGUAGAGGUGGGCGGAAUUCGUGGUGUAGCGGUGAAAUGCUUAGAUAGCACGAAGAACUCCGAUUGCGAAGGCAGUUCACUGGACUGCAACUGACACUGAGGCUCGAAAGUGUGGGUAUCAAACAGGAUUAGAUACCCCAGUAGUC